CCAUAUGGAUGCCGUUGUUGCAACAGCAUUAUUUUCGGGGAGGUUCCGUAGCCACAGUAAGGUGAAAUUUCCAGUUGAGGACAUGUGGUUGUGCCCUUUGAAUUUUUCUGCACACUGGAUUCUUGUGAUUGUCAACAUCCCCACAAGGACCCUGAUCCUAAUAGAUCCCAUGGGCAAUGAGGACCAUUAUGAAAGAAAAGUUCUUCGCAAGUGAAGGAACUUUCUGAAGAUGAAGGACAGGUCUGCGGAGUCGUGGCAGAUACAGACUCUGCAGCAUCAUAAACAGCAGGACUCAAGUAGCUGUGGAGUUUUGGUGCUGAAGUUUGCAGAGAACUUCAUUUUGGCGGGUGAAGCAAGGGAGGUACUGAGCUGAGGCUGUGAAGCAGUACAGAGGGCAGAUAGCCUGUAGCCUGCUAGAAAAUCGGGGCAACGCAGAAGAUUACUGCGUGGUGUGCUCCAUGCUGGAGAACGAUGCCGAGCGCAGCAUGAUUGAAAUGGUGCAGUGUGGGACAUGUCUGCGGUGGGCCCAUUUUGAAUGUGUGAAUGAUGCGCACACAGAUUAUCGUUGUCAUAAAUGUUUGAGAGAUUUGUGAAUUUUGAUUAUGUAAGUGAUGUGUAAAUAGUUAUUGUGUGAAUGUGC